rnacentral:lncRNA from 1 species
CUUCUAUUGGGAAAGCAUCUCCUCUAUGCUUCUCCCAGGGCUGCUGAAUUGUGGUAUGAGGUCAGGCCCGUGGUCACUCUCUUCUGACACCAGCAAGGUCAUUUUCAUGCCCAGUGACCCCACCUUUGCUGGCUCAAGCACAAACACCCUUUCUGAAGAACGAUACCAAAGUCAGCCUCUGUUUCCUCAGUUUCUUCCUGUUCUACCUUUGGCAUCC